UACGUAGGGUGCAAGCGUUGUCCGGAAUUACUGGGCGUAAAGAGCUCGUAGGCGGUCUGUCGCGUCGGGUGUGAAAACCCAGGGCUCAACCCUGGGCCUGCAUUCGAUACGGGCAGACUAGAGUUCGGUAGGGGAGACUGGAAUUCCUGGUGUAGCGGUGAAAUGCGCAGAUAUCAGGAGGAACACCGGUGGCGAAGGCGGGUCUCCGGGCCGAUACUGACGCUGAGGAGCGAAAGCGUGGGGAGCGAACAGG
rnacentral:rRNA from 1 species